ACGAACGCUGGCGGCCUGCCUAACACAUGCAAGUCGAACGAGACCUUCGGGUCUAGUGGCGCACGGGUGCGUAACGCGUGGGAAUCUGCCCUUCGGUUGGGAAUAACUGAGAGAAAUUUCAGCUAAUACCUUAUAAUGUCUUCGGACCAAAGAUUUAUCGCCGAGGGAUGAGCCCGCGUAGGAUUAGGUAGUUGGUGGGGUAAUGGCCUACCAAGCCGACGAUCCUUAGCUGGUCUGAGAGGAUGAUCAGCCACACUGGGACUGAGACACGGCCCAGACUCCUACGGGAGGCAGCAGUGGGGAAUAUUGGACAAUGGGCGAAAGCCUGAUCCAGCAAUGCCGCGUGAGUGAUGAAGGCCUUAGGGUUGUAAAGCUCUUUUACCCGGGAUGAUAAUGACAGUACCGGGAGAAUAAGCUCCGGCUAACUCCGUG
rnacentral:rRNA from 1 species